rnacentral:rRNA from 1 species
UAGGGAAUCUUCGGCAAUGGACGAAAGUCUGACCGAGUAACGCCGCGUGAGUGAAGAAGGUUUCGGAUCGUAAAACUCUGUUGGUAGAGAAGAACGUUGGUGAGAGUGGAAAGCUCAUCAAGUGACGGUAACUACCCAGAAAGGGACGGCUAACUGCGUGCCAG